UAAAUACUCCCUCCGUCCCAAAAUUCUUGUCUUAAAUUUAUCUAGAUACGAAUGUAUCUAGUCACAUUUUAGCAUUUAUAUAUAUUUAUUUAUAGACAAACCUAAGACAAGAAUUUCGGGACGGAGGGAGUAUGUA
rnacentral:pre_miRNA from 1 species